rnacentral:rRNA from 1 species
UACAGAGGGUGCAAGCGUUAAUCGGAAUUACUGGGCGUAAAGCGCGCGUAGGCGGCUGUCUAAGUCGGGUGUGAAAGCCCCGGGCUCAACCUGGGAACUGCAUUCGAUACUGGACGGCUAGAGUAUGAGAGAGGGAGGUAGAAUUCCACGUGUAGCGGUGAAAUGCGUAGAUAUGUGGAGGAACACCUGAGGUGAAGACGGGUUGCUGGGCUGACACUGACGCUGAGGCGCGAAAGCUAGGGUAGCAAACGGG